UACGAAGGGGACUAGCGUUGUUCGGAAUCACUGGGUGUAAAGCGCACGUAGGCGGAUUUGUAAGUCAGGGGUGAAAUCCCGGGGCUCAACCUCGGAACUGCCUUUGAUACUGCGAAUCUUGAGUCCGAUAGAGGUGGGUGGAAUUCCUAGUGUAGAGGUGAAAUUCGUAGAUAUUAGGAAGAACACCGGUGGCGAAGGCGGCCCACUGGAUCGGUACUGACGCUGAGGUGCGAAAGCGUGGGGAGCAAACAGG
rnacentral:rRNA from 1 species